rnacentral:rRNA from 1 species
UGGGGAAUUUUGGACAAUGGGCGAAAGCCUGAUCCAGCAAUGCCGCGUGUGUGAAGAAGGCCUUCGGGUUGUAAAGCACUUUUGUCCGGAAAGAAAUCCUUGGCUCUAAUACAGUCGGGGGAUGGCGGUACCGGAAGAAUAAGCACCGGCUAACUACGUGCCAGCAGCCGCGGUAAUACGUAGGGUGCAAGCGUUAAUCGGAAUUACUGGGCGUAAAGCGUGCGCAGGCGGUUUGCUAAGACCGAUGUGAAAUCCCCGGGCUCAACCUGGGAACUGCAUUGGUGACUGGCAGGCUAGAGUAUGGCAGAGGGGGGUAGAAUUCCACGUGUAGCAGUGAAAUGCGUAGAGAUGUGGAGGAAUACCGAUGGCGAAGGCAGCCCCCUGGGCCAAUACUGACGCUCAUGCACGAAAGCGUGGGGAGCAAAACAGGAUUAGAUACCCUGGUAGUCCACGCCCUAAAACGAUGUCAACUAGUUGUUGGGGAUUCAUUUCCUUAGUAACGUAGCUAACGCGUGAAGUUGACCGCCUGGGGAGUACGGUCGCAAGAUUAAAACUCAAAGGAAUUGACGGGGUCAUAGCUGUUUCCU